rnacentral:rRNA from 1 species
UACGUAGGGUGCAAGCGUUGUCCGGAAUUAUUGGGCGUAAAGAGCUCGUAGGCGGCUCGUCACGUCGGCUGUGAAAACCCGGGGCUCAACCCCGGGCCUGCAGUCGAUACGGGCGAGCUAGAGUUCGGUAGGGGAGACUGGAAUUCCUGGUGUAGCGGUGAAAUGCGCAGAUAUCAGGAGGAACACCGAUGGCGAAGGCAGGUCUCUGGGCCGAUAUUGACGCUGAGGAGCGAAAGCGUGGGGAGCGAACAGG